UUACUUUUUUACAACUUGAGAAUAAAAAAGAAAUCCACACUUUACAAGCUAUACAUAAGUAUUUCACUAAAUUUCUUACAUAUUUAGAGAUAUUUUUACAUAUAUAUAUUUUUUUGAAUUAAUUAUUGCCGGAUUCCCGCACCCGUUUCCAUACUAGGAUCUGUAUUCCCGAAUCUUAGAAUUUACAUCUCGAAGAAUCUAACCUCUAGAUCCGCACCCGUGUCGGACACCUGCAGCCGUGUCCGAGCAGCUUAGGUAGAUUACACGUGAUCAAUGCAAUAUUAUUACCAAUAUACAAUUUAUGGGGUGCAAUUUUCAUCUUGACUCAAAGGGUAUUGAAAGAGGUUGAUAGAAAAUGCAGAGAUUACCUAUGGGAGUCCAGGAGAGAAGGAAAAUGACAUUAGUUUCUAGGGACAAA
rnacentral:lncRNA from 1 species